UACGGAGGGAGCUAGCGUUGUUCGGAAUUACUGGGCGUAAAGCGCGCGUAGGCGGCUUUUGUAAGUUAGAGGUGAAAGCCCGGGGCUCAACCCCGGAAUUGCCUUUAAGACUGCAUCGCUUGAAUCCGGGGAGAGGUGAGUGGAAUUCCGAGUGUAGAGGUGAAAUUCGUAGAUAUUCGGAAGAACACCAGUGGCGAAGGCGGCUCACUGGACCGGCAUUGACGCUGAGGUGACGAAAGCGUGGGGAGCAAACAGGAUUGAG
rnacentral:rRNA from 1 species